GGGGUACCGGCCUCCUCCGCCCCGGGGGACCAGCCUCUCCCCCCCCCCCCCCCCGCCGCCCCGGGAGCAGAGGCGGGCGCGGGGCGAAGCCCAGCUUCUCCGCGCCGGCAGCGGCCUCCACCCCUGCCCAGCAGCCUAUCACUCCAGGGAUGGACUGCCUGCUUGCCUGUUCCCACCAGACCAAGGAGUGCAGCUCUGGGAACAACUGCUGAGGCAUCCUGGGGUAGGGGGAGCAUCGGGGGCCCGGAGCCCCGGAGCACACUCACUCCUGGAACUUACGUGUGUGACUAAAUAACCGCUCACCGUCUCCGUUGCCCUCCUGGCUGUGCUUGCACUGCCUUUGCACCAGGUUCUAACAAAGGGGUGGCCCUGGAGGAUGAAGGAAAACCAGCUGGAGGCCAGCGAUUCCAGGCCAGGGAAGAGUAAGAGGCUGAGCUGACCUGGUUUAAGGCUGUAGUGGGGACUGCAAGGGGGACCUCUGGCCAGCUGUGUGGAGCACCGGGUGGAUUUGCAGACCCUCGAGACCACCAAAGACCCCUGCUCGGGACAACGGGGCAUGCACCAGGGGAAAAGAGAAUAUUAUCAUUAGUUUUGGGUAA